rnacentral:rRNA from 1 species
AUACGGAGGGGGCUAGCGUUGUUCGGAAUUACUGGGCGUAAAGCGCGCGUAGGCGGACCUGUAAGUCGGGGGUGAAAGCCCGAGGCUCAACCUCGGAACUGCCUUCGAUACUACAGGUCUUGAGUCCGAGAGAGGUGAGUGGAAUUCCUAGUGUAGAGGUGAAAUUCGUAGAUAUUAGGAAGAACACCAGUGGCGAAGGCGGCUCACUGGCUCGGUACUGACGCUGAGGUGCGAAAGCGUGGGGAGCAAACAGGAUUAGAAACCCCAGUAGUCC